rnacentral:rRNA from 1 species
CAACAUUCCGAAAGGGAUGCUAAUACCGAAUGUGCUCCCUCCUCCGCAUGGAGGAGGGAGGAAAGAUGGCCUCUGCUUGCAAGCUAUCGCUGGAAGAUGGGCCCGCGUCUGAUUAGCUAGUUGGUGGGGUAACGGCUCACCAAGGCGAUGAUCAGUAGCCGGUCUGAGAGGAUGAACGGCCACAUUGGGACUGAGACACGGCCCAAACUCCUACGGGAGGCAGCAGUGGGGAAUCUUCCGCAAUGGACGAAAGUCUGACGGAGCAACGCCGCGUGAGUGAUGAAGGUCUUCGGAUUGUAAAACUCUGUUGUUAGGGACGAAAGCACCGUGUUCGAACAGGUCAUGGUGUUGACGGUACCUAACGAGGAAGCCACGGCUAACUACGUGCCAGCAGCCGCGGUAAUACGUAGGUGGCAAGCGUUGUCCGGAAUUAUUGGGCGUAAAGAGCAUGUAGGCGGGCUUUUAAGUCUGACGUGAAAAUGCGGGGCUUAACCCCGUAUGGCGUUGGAUACUGGAAGUCUUGAGUGCAGGAGAGGAAAGGGGAAUUCCCAGUGUAGCGGUGAAAUGCGUAGAUAUUGGGAGGAACACCAGUGGCGAAGGCGCCUUUCUGGACUGUGUCUGACGCUGAGAUGCGAAAGCCAGGGUAGCAAACGGGAUUAGAUACCCCGGUAGUCCUGGCCGUAAACGAUGGAUACUAGGU